ACAUUCCAGCGCGAAUUCUCAGUGCCUUGGCAUUUCAGUGUGGUUUUCUAUCCAUCCCAGUACAGUGAUACUGAACCCACCGCCUCACAUAACUGAAGCACGUGCUUUACCGCUGAACUGUGUUCCCCAGAG
rnacentral:lncRNA from 14 species